rnacentral:rRNA from 1 species
UACGUAGGGCGCAAGCGUUAUCCGGAAUCACUGGGCGUAAAGCGCACGUAGGCGGCUUUUUAAGUCAGGGGUGAAAUCCUGGAGCUCAACUCCAGAACUGCCUUUGAUACUGAAAGUCUUGAGUAUGGGAGAGGUGAGUGGAACUGCGAGUGUAGAGGUGAAAUUCGUAGAUAUUCGCAAGAACACCAGUGGCGAAGGCGGCUCACUGGCCCAUUACUGACGCUGAGGCACGAAAGCUAGGGGAGCAAACAGG